rnacentral:lncRNA from 1 species
CUCAGAAAUGGUUUCGCAAAAAUUUUUUUUUGAUUCGUUGCAUGCAAAAUAUGCAACCAUUAACCAGGUGUUUUUAAAUUUCUACGUAGCUAAAUUAUAAUUCAUAAAUGUAUAUCUUUUGUGAACAUGUGAAAUCAAAAUACUGUAAAUCUAAUUAAAUCCAUAAAUGUUAUUCACUAGUGAAUUUAUGUCAGUCUUACCACGUCUCACUUUCUUGUAGCCUCUUGUACUGUUUCUUACCUAGUACAUAAUUUACUUCAAACUUAUACAUAUCCAAUCUCUCUUUUUAAAAUCCAUAUGACUCUCAAGCACCUGCAUUGGACAUCCACACCACACAUACAUACCAAACAUGACUAUAAUUUGCUAAAUAACUUUCAUUCAUCAUCAAGUCUCAAAAAUUGUUUAGAUCCGACUGUAAAAACUGAGGGAACACAAAACCAAGAAAAUAUGACAAAAUUUUCUUGCUUCCCCAUAAUCUUAAGCUAAUACAUCGAUAAACCAAAAUCAAACAAGAAAAUCUCAAUCAGUUACCCCACCCCCAUAAUUACUAACCUUAUUAAUGUAUACUCUCAUCAUGUUCUCCUCCUAGCUGUGAGCACACAGAAGUUAAAAACGUUAAAAAUGUUUUGAAAAACUGGUAUAAAUCUUAACAUUUAGACCAAAAAAAAAAGUUAAAAACGUUAGGAAUAAGAUUAUUCAAAGUUUCAAUAAGACUACGUACCUUUGUUCGAUCGAAUGAAUAUUUGAUCCUCUUUCCCUGGAGUUUUGUGAGAGAUAUGAUCAUCCGGGUGUUUGAUGCAAGUCAGGUAGAUCACUAAGUUCCAACAGCUCCAAGUCUUCUGCUUUCUCCAUUUCAACACCAGGUGGAACUGUCUUCAGUACAUUGUGAAUCUCUUGAUCUGCCUGUUUGAUUGACCUCAAACCACUUAGAGAUCAGAUAUAAAAUCCUCAGCUAUCAUUUGUCAAAUUUUGAGCAAGAUUUGACAGUUGAAAGUCCUCCAUUUGCAGGGCCG